rnacentral:rRNA from 1 species
AGUCAACAUGCCCAGGGGACGUGGAUAACCUCGGGAAACUGAGGAUAAACCGCGACAGGCCAUGAUUUCUGGAAUGGUUCAUGGCCGAAAUCUAUAUGGCCCCUGGAUUGGACUGCGGCCGAUCAGGCUGUUGGUGAGGUAAUGGCCCACCAAACCUGUAACCGGUACGGGCUCUGAGAGGAGGAGCCCGGAGAUGGGUACUGAGACAAGGACCCAGGCCCUAUGGGGCGCAGCAGGCGCGAAACCUCUGCAAUAGGCGAAAGCCUGACAGGGUUAUUCUGAGUGACUUUCGCUAAGAAAGUCUUUUGACACCUCUAAAAAUGGUGCAGAAUAAGGGGUGGGCAAGUCUGGUGUCAGCCGCCGCGGUAAUACCAGCACCCCGAGUGGUCGGGACGAUUAUUGGGCCUAAAGCAUCCGUAGCCGGUUUUACAAGUCCUCCGUUAAAUCCAACUGCUUAACAGAUGGGCCGCGGAGGAUACUAUAAGACUAGGAGGCAGGAGAGGCAAGCGGUACUCAGUGGGUAGGGGUAAAAUCCCUUGAUCCCUUG